CCUACGGGUGGCAGCAGUGAGGAAUAUUGGUCAAUGGACGAGAGUCUGAACCAGCCAAGUAGCGUGAAGGAUGACUGCCCUAUGGGUUGUAAACUUCUUUUAUAUGGGAAUAAAACGUUCCACGUGUGGGAUUUUGUAUGUACCAUAUGAAUAAGGAUCGGCUAACUCCGUGCCAGCAGCCGCGGUAAUACGGAGGAUCCGAGCGUUAUCCGGAUUUAUUGGGUUUAAUGGGAGCGUAGGUGGAUUGGUAAGUCAGUUGUGAAAGUUUGCGGCUCAACCGUAAAAUUGCAGUUGAAACUGGCAGUCUUGAGUACAGUAGAGGUGGGCGGAAGUCGUGGUGUAGCGGUGAAAUGCUUAGAUAUCACGAAGAACUCCGAUUGCGAAGGCAGUUCACUGGACUGCAACUGACACUGAGGCUCGAAAGUGUGGGUAUCAAACAGGAUUAGAUACCCGUGUAGUC
rnacentral:rRNA from 1 species